UACGAGGGGGGCAAGCGUUGUUCGGAAUUAUUGGGCGUAAAGGGCGCGUAGGCGGUGCGGUAAGUCACCUGUGAAAUCUCCUGGCUCAACUGGGAGCUUGCAGGCGAAACUGCCGUGCUGGAGUGUGGGAGAGGUGAGUGGAAUUCCCGGUGUAGCGGUGAAAUGCGUAGAUAUCAGGAGGAACACCGGUGGUGUAGACGGCUUUCUGGACCGUAACUGACGCUGAGACACGAAAGCGUGGGUAGCAAACAGG
rnacentral:rRNA from 1 species